AGGAAGUCCCGCCCAUUCCAGGAAGCAUGCUCCUUUUGACAAGCUGCUCCAGUGUGACUUCAAAACAAACCAUCUUUCAGGAGAAGCCUGCCAUCUCCAGAUAGCAGAGAAAUCCUCCCUGACUGCAGACAGCAGGAUGCAUGCAAGCAGCCAAAGAGCUCUUUUGCCUCAAAGUGUCCUUGCAUGCUGCUGCAUUAGACCCUGAUCCCACUCUUCACCUGUGCACGAUGAAGAAGAAGAAGAAGAAGGAGAUGACAUCAACAAUAGUGACUACAUACUGUAAA